AUGCCUAGGUUGCCGCCUCUAUCUCCACUUCGUCCGUUCUUGCAUAGGCUUUGUACGGCUUUGGUAGUCAGCCCGCCGGAGCCCAAAAUAAGGACAGGGACAUCGGUCUCGCCUGCGUCGUCGUCAAGCGCAAGCUCCUGGUGGAUGCUCUGCUCCGUCCUUGGCGCCUUCGUCCUCAUCGAUGUCUCUACCAUCAUCAGCCUACUCCAUGGCCUGCCAUCAGACAAGUACAUCCACGCUCUCAAGAAGGUGCUCCAAUUCUUCAACCGCAGAAAUGUGAGUACUACUUCACUUCACAGAGCCAAAAAGAUACAGCACCUAGUCCGGAUGCAGUAG
rnacentral:rRNA from 1 species